UUGAUAUGCGCAUGCGCACACAGCAAUACCCAUCCCCCACCCUUGACUGACUUUUGAACACCAACCACGGUGACUUCAACCGUCACUUUUCUGUCCUGUCAUGCAUCUGACUUUGUAAGCUGUACAAACUCUGCUGUCAUCAUAUCCAAGGUGGUGAUUUGUGCGGACUGCUGCCCUGAGAACACUGAGUGCAUUCUGCCAAAUCAAUGUGUGCCACUCACUGUUUGUGUGGAAAAAAAUAAACUUUAAUAAAAGGUUAAACAAA